AACGAACGCUGGCGGCAGGCCUAACACAUGCAAGUCGAACGCACCGCAAGGUGAGUGGCGCACGGGUGAGUAACACGUGGGAAUGUACCCUUUGGUUCGGAAUAACGUUUGGAAACGAACGCUAAUACCGGAUGAGCCCUGUGGGGGAAAGAUUUAUCGCCAAAGGAGCAGCCCGCGUCUGAUUAGCUAGUUGGUGGGGUAAAGGCCUACCAAGGCGACGAUCAGUAGCUGGUCUGAGAGGAUGAUCAGCCACACUGGGACUGAGACACGGCCCAGACUCCUACGGGAGGCAGCAGUGGGGAAUAUUGGACAAUGGGCGGAAGGCCUGAUCCAGCCAUGCCGCGUGAGUGAUGAAGGCCUCGGUUGGUUAAGUACGUACUUUCGUCUACGCGACGAUGAUGACGGUAGACGGUGAGAAGAAGACCCGGCCGUACG
rnacentral:rRNA from 1 species